UACGUAGGGUCCCGAGCGUUGUCCGGAAUUAUUGGGCGUAAAGGGCUCGUAGGCGGUUUGUCGCGUCGGGAGUGAAAACACCGGGCUUAACUCGGUGCUUGCUUUCGAUACGGGCAGACUAGAGGUAUUCAGGGGAGAACGGAAUUCCUGGUGUAGCGGUGAAAUGCGCAGAUAUCAGGAGGAACACCGGUGCGAAGGCGGUUCUCUGGGAAUAUCCUGACGCUGAGGAGCGAAAGUGUGGGGA
rnacentral:rRNA from 1 species